GGCUAGCCACCUUUUUUUGUUGGCGCGAGAAGUUAGGACUGAUUUAAAGAGCACUGUGUUGUAGCUACAAACGCCAUGGUAACGGCGAAACGUAACAAUACAGAUGGAACGCGGCACGAACACGGUCACGCACUUUGAGAAGCCUGUCUUGUGAAUCAAAAAGAUGUUGAUAUAUGUGGCGUGUCCCUUCACAAACAUAAACAAGACAACAGUACUAAAUUUAAUUAGCCAAAUUUCGAUUUUAAUCGAAAACAGGUAGAAAGGAUGGGCACGGUAUUUGAAAUUCACCGGCGCCUUGGACGAGAAGGCGACCCCGCCGAAAGACUCAUUGCGAAACCCGGUGUUUUCAAUUUCGUGCCACGCAAUAAACGCAAACCACACAAGACGCGCUCUGAAAAAACCACCUGCAGCAAUCAUAUGUGAUAUUUAAAUCUAAUAAUAGACGUACCUGUAAAUUUAUGAUUAAUUUAAAUGAGUUCAUCCAUUCUAAAAUCCAAAGAGCGUCCGGCGGUGAACAAUGACGUAGUUUCCCUACGGAUCCAUCCGGGUACUUUCGUAAUGUCAGCCAACCCAGUGUUGUGUGGAUGUGGCCUUAUUGAACGUUGCCGUCAAGGCAGUUGAAUGUCUUUGUUGAUGUCAACUCGUCGAACAAGAAAGAAUCGCUUUUACAAUAACGAUUUAAAUAGUUUCCUUGGAUACAUUCAGAGAAGUGUGUCAUAUACAUUUAUAUUACUGUAGAGGCGUUUGGUAUUGGUGGAUCGUACGGCUGAAUAUGCUCCAUCCAUGCUGUGUGAUAUCCAACAAUAUUGGGAUGCUGAAGGCUGGAGAGCACUUUAACCUCUCUAAGAACCUGCAAGGAGAUAAAAAAAAACAGAUGCAAUAAGGAUCCUUUACCCAGUGUUGCAAUUUCUUCAAAUUCACUAAGGUAACGGGAUGUCUGUGCUUGGAAAAGACCAUCUUUGGUUCUAGAAUAGAUAAGUAUAUCUCAGCUAUUUUAAAUGAUAAUGUACUGUACACUACCAUUCA